rnacentral:lncRNA from 1 species
CCGUGACUGACGGCAGAUUGCCGUUAAGUUUUUCUUGAAUUUUGUUUAAUUAUUAUUUUGGAAUAUAUGAAGCGACCGCCGGCUGGGAAGCGAACAUACAAAGAGACGGCGGGGGAGGGGGGCGGAGGGCGGCAACGGUGUUGGCGGGUUCAUUGACGUCCGUUUGUUUUCGUAGUAGAAAGGAAGGCGGCGUGGUUGACGGCGAAGUGACGGAGGUGAGAUGGCUUUUGGGGCCACCGAAGGGCCGUCUGUGGAGGUGCGAGGAGCCAGGAGGAGACACGAAGUAAUGAAACCUGGAAAGAGGGCGGUGACGAGAACCGUGUGGCGGACAGCUCAGACGUGGAUCCCAACGGCUGCUUCCCACCAAAGCAAAGCUAACGCAAGGCGAGCCCCACCCGAGUCCCGUCACCACCCCGUGGUUCUUGCCAGAGUUUUACGACGGGGGCCAGGGGACCGGAGUCUUUUUCGAACUCCCGCCAUCUAACUUCUGCUUUCCCCAGCUUGGCGCCAAGGUUCAAACGAGCAAACCGGC